GCAACUUCACUCACUGGAUGUAAAUUCUGCUGCACGAACGCCCAUGCUGGAGGUGGCUGAGAGGGGAGCGACUGAGAGGCGAGUGCUGAGAGGCGAGAGCACGGGGGCCAGUUGACCCAGAUCCCAGCGCUCGUUUUGCUUUUUCCCGACGCCGCCUCCUCCAGAUCGGCGCUGGACGCUAUUCAUUUUUGCCUCUGGCAAGAAGAAAAGGGCAAAGUCUCAGACAAGAACACUCACGUCAUACCUUUUUAAAAGAGCUCACCUCAGGACAGAGAAAACGGAUGUGCAUUUCGAGAGCCACAAAGGCACUACCAACCUUCCUCCGCCUCUUUAAAAUAUGUCUGUCUUUACUCUAAAUUUGUGAUUUAGCUGUUUUGAAAAAUCUUCUCUAGCUGUAUGUGGGCCAUGCUGCUUUUCUGCUUGUAAUAUUUAUUUUAUCAUGUUGUGUUAGGUACCCUAAGGACUUUGGGCAUGGUGAAUCAUAUUUAUUAUUUACAAGCUUUGUCAGCAGCAGUUAACCUGUUUGCUCUGGACAUGCAAUUAUUCCCUAUACAAGACCAGCCUGGCAUUUUCAAUGCUGAUUGCUACAUACGGAAGAUGCUUCAUGCUUCACUGAACCCACAUUUUCAUUAGACUACUCCCAGUUUACAAAUGAGUGUUAAAAAGACCUUUACUGUGUAGUUUUGUUAUGGCAGGUGUUGGGUAUGCAAUUAUGUUGUUGCAAUACUAAAAGUUACUACUUUACUUUCACACCAAAUGUUUUUGUGUUCAACAGUAAAAAACAGCA